rnacentral:rRNA from 1 species
UAGGGAAUCUUCGGCAAUGGGGGGAACCCUGACCGAGCAACGCCGCGUGAGUGAAGAAGGUUUUCGGAUCGUAAAGCUCUGUUGUUAAGGAAGAACGAGUGCGAGAAUGGAAAGUUCAUGCUGUGACGGUACUUAACCAGAAAGGGACGGCUAACUACGUGCCAGCAGCAGCGGUAAUACGUAGGUCCCGAGCGUUGUCCGGAUUUAUUGGGCGUAAAGCGAGCGCAGGCGGUUAGAAAAGUCUGAAGUGAAAGGCAGUGGCUCAACCAUUGUAGGCUUUGGAAACUGUUUAACUUGAGUGCAGAAGGGGAGAGUGGAAUUCCAUGUGUAGCGGUGAAAUGCGUAGAUAUAUGGAGGUACACCGGUGGCUAGAGCGGCUCUCUGGUCUGUAACUGACGCUGAGGCUCGAAAGCGUGGGGAGCGAACAGG